GUCUACGGCCAUACCACCCUGAAUGCGCCCAAUCUCAUCUGAUCUCGGAAGCUAAGCAGGGUCGGGCCUGGUUAGUACUUGGAUGGGAGACCACCUGGGAAUACGGGGUGCUGUAGGCA
ensembl:rRNA 5S_rRNA 5S ribosomal RNA